GACGAACGCUGGCGGCGUGCUUAACACAUGCAAGUCGAACGGAAAGGCCCUGCUUUUGUGGGGUGCUCGAUUGGCGAACGGGUGAGUAACACGUGAGUAACCUGCCCUUGACUUUGGGAUAACUUCAGGAAACUGGGGCUAAUACCGGAUAGGAGCUCCUGCUGCAUGGGGGGGGUUGGAAAGUGUCGGCGGUUGGGGAUGGACUCGCGGCUUAUCAGCUUGUUGGUGGGGUAGUGGCUUACCAAGGCUUUGACGGGUAGCCGGCCUGAGAGGGUGGCCGGCCACCUUAGGACUACGAUACGGCCCAGAAGCCUACCGGCCGCAGCGGUGGAGAACCUUGCGCAACGGGCGCGCGCCAGAUGCAGCAGCGCCCCGAGCGGAAUGCCGUCCUUCGAGUUAUAAACAGACUUCGACUGUGCCGGAGAGUUAGUGACGGUACUGGGUCAAGAAGCCCCGGCUAACUACGUG
rnacentral:rRNA from 1 species